ACGCUGGCGGCAGGCUUAACACAUGCAAGUCGAACGGUAACAGGAAUUAGCUUGCUAAUUUGCUGACGAGUGGCGGACGGGUGAGUAAUGCUUGGGAAUCUGGCUUAUGGAGGGGGAUAACUACGGGAAACUGUAGCUAAUACCGCGUAAAAUCUUCGGAUUAAAGGGUGGGACUUUCGAGCCACCUGCCAUAAGAUGAGCCCAAGUGGGAUUAGGUAGUUGGUUAGGUAAAGGCUGACCAAGCCGACGAUCUCUAGCUGGUCUGAGAGGAUGACCAGCCACACUGGAACUGAGACACGGUCCAGACUCCUACGGGAGGCAGCAGUGGGGAAUAUUGCACAAUGGGGGGAACCCUGAUGCAGCCAUGCCGCGUGAAUGAAGAAGGCCUUCGGGUUGUAAAGUUCUUUCGGUGACGAGGAAGGUUGAUAGGUUAAUAGCCUAUCAAAUUGACGUUAAUCACAGAAGAAGCACCGGCUAACUCCGUGCCAGCAGCCGCGGUAAUACGGGGGAUGCGAGCGUUAAUCGGAAUAACUGGGCGUAAAGGGCACGCAGGCGGUGACUUAAGUGAGAUGUGAAAGCCCCGAGCUUAACUUGGGAAUUGCAUUUCAUACUGGGUCGCUAGAGUACUUUAGGGAGGGGUAGAAUUCCACGUGUAGCGGUGAAAUGCGUAGAGAUGUGGAGGAAUACCGAAGGCGAAGGCAGCCCCUUGGGAAUGUACUGACGCUCAUGUGCGAAAGCGUGGGGAGCAAACAGGAUUAGAUACCCUGGUAGUCCACGCUGUAAACGAUGUCGAUUUGGGGAUUGGGCUUUGAGCUUGGUGCCCGUAGCUAACGUGAUAAAUCGACCGCCUGGGGAGUACGGCCGCAAGGUUAAAACUCAAAUGAAUUGACGGGGGCCCGCACAAGCGGUGGAGCAUGUGG
rnacentral:rRNA from 1 species